ensembl:lncRNA
CAGUCUGACAAAGUGACAUCUGACCUGGAAGUGCGUAUGAAGCAAAGGUUCUUGCCAGGGCUUCUACUCCUCUCUGCAUUAAGCUCUUUGAGGAACAUACUGCCUGAGAAGACUAACUAGGGAGUUUGAAAAAGUGACUGAUACAGGACACAGUGGCUUCAAUUGCACAAUGUAUUAAGCAUGAACUCAAACGGCAGUUUGAUGGCAAUUUGUCUCACCAAUUUGACGGCACUCUUUAGAGUAAGCCAGUGGUGAAAAACUGACCCUACCCUCUAGAGCUGGGCCAGAUGCAUUGAUCUGGUUUUCCAACUGCUUCCAUGUUUUCACUGCUAUUCCAGUAAAGUCUAUGGCCUUGGUUGGGUAGAUCAGGUGUCGUAAAGGCUUUCCUUGUUCCUGUCUGCAAAUGCAGCAUUCGUUUGCAAGGUUAUGCAGCUUUAUUAGAAGCAAAGUAGAUAGCAAGUAACUUUUUCAGGGAUUAUAUAACACGCUUUCAAGUUCUGAGCCUGGCCAGUUCUGGUACAGCAGAGAAAUGCUUUAUAUUUGCAAGUUUAACUUUGUCAAGCCUGAGUACUUUGGUGCAGCUUACAAGAGUGCUGCAUAUUGUGUCUGGCUCUUGAUAACUGUUCAAUGAAAAAAACUUCAUUGAAUGGAGCAUAUCUUUAGUUACUCGCUACAGUUUUAUUUAUUACCCAUAUAUGAUUACUGUGAUAAUAUAACCCUGCUGUGUAAACAGCAUGCCACCUCUGCAUGUAGACACUGAUUUAUAUACCUCAUCAUCUGCUGAAGAUCAAGCAGGGAAUAGUUCAGACAAAAAAGAUAGUCAGCUAACCUAUCAGCUAGUAAAGUACAUCUUUUGUUUUGUUGAUGUGCUGUUUGGCUCAGAAAGGAGAAUAGAUAUGCUGACAAAGACGACUAUCACAUAAAUUUUUUCAAGAUGCUAUAACUGAAUGCAGUGCUGGAGCUGGCAGUUCCUGAAUUAAUUUCACCCUUCAGUGAUGGAGUCAGUAGAUUAGUGAAUUGACCUUCAGCUUCCAAGUUCUAUGUUAAGUGAUUGUAGUCAUAUAAAAGAGGGGAUGGAAAAGCUUGCUUUUCAUUUGCUAAUUCAUUCUUUUGAAGAAUAAGGAGUUUGGUUUGGCUUCUUUCCAGUGAGGUAUGUGUCCUAAAGUGCUAAACAUUUAUUAAGGAGUAGAAUUUUUAUAUCGAAGUUGGAAGGCAGAUGCUUAAAGUAAAAACCUUGUAGGCUUUCUAUUUCCAUGCAGUGGGAUCUUUAUGUUUUUCCUGUCCAGUGUUUCUUAAAAGUUGUCUUCAUCAAACUGCAACACCUGCAAUAACCAGAAGCAGCUCUUUCAUGUAUUUCCCUUGUUUAUAGCCAAGGUUUGUGAGGUGCUGGGAGCCCAGCUUCCAUCACCCUCAUUUGGUUUCUAUGUCUGCUGCUUUCAGAAAAAUUAUCAGGUGUUGUACAAGUGCACUGAUGUAACAAAAUAUAUGUCCUGUGCUUAAAAGCAAGACAAUGAAAACAAAUGUGUGCUUCAGUCUUACUGAAAAAUAAACAUCAGUUGUGCCUUG